rnacentral:rRNA from 1 species
GACGAACGCUGGCGGCACGCCUAACACAUGCAAGUCGAACGGACUUAUAAGAGCUUGCUUUUUUAAGUUAGUGGCGGACGGGUGAGUAACACGUGAGCAACCUGCCUCUGAGAGGGGGAUAGCUUCUGGAAACGGAUGGUAAUACCCCAUAAAAUAUAAAUAUCGCAUGAUAUCUAUAUCAAAGAACUUCGCUCAUAGCUGGGCUCGCUUCUGAUUAGAUAGUUGGGCAGGUAACGGCUCACCAAGUCGACGAUCAGUAGCCGGACUGAGAGGUUGAACGGCCACAUUGAGACUGAGACACGGUCCAGACUCCUACGGGAGGCAGGAGUGGGGAAUAUUGCACAAUGGAGGGAACGCUGAUGCAGCGAUGCCGGGUGGAGGAAGAAGGUUUUCGGAUUGUAAACUCCUUUUAUCAGGGACGAUAAUGACGGUACCUGAAGAAAAAGCUCCGGCUAACUACGUG